GCACUCGAGUUCAAGUUUCAUCAGUGUGCUUCACUGCCCCUUAAAUUCACAUUAACUACCGAGAUUCAAAGAGCUGAACAGGUCUUCAUAAUUUAAAAACGCUAAGUUCCAUUUACUGCAAAGGAUACAUACUAUCAAAAGCAGUUACUAAUUCUACACAUUAGAUAAUUCACUAUACUUGGCAGAAGAGGAAAUCUGAGCAUUUAUUUUCUUAAACUGGUGCCUAAGUUGACAGGAAUGUCAAGUCAGAAGGAAAAACAUUUAAAACAUACAGAGUAAAUGUACAAUUGAAGGAAAGGACCGCUCUUUAUUCACACAUAAAGUCUACUCUGCCAUGAGCAGUUUCUGCACACCGCCCCAGGCUCUGGCUCGGGGGUUUCUGAGAAACGCGACAGAACUACUAUUCCCACGCACCUGACAGGGCAGUGAGCAGACCCCUCGUUGUGAUAAAGUCAAGGCUCCCAGCACAGGAGUUCCACCCUCACCCCGAUGUGGCUGUGGCACAUGCCCAUGUUUAUGGUCUAGACUGAAUAUCCAAGAAAUGCAUCCUUAUCACUACUGGGCACUAAGCUAACAACGUGACAGAGGUGUAUGUCUUUGUAAACAAGAACCAAAAUUCACCAGGCUCAAUAGGUAUAGACCCUAUGACAAGCUUUUCUCGUGCUGAAAUAAUGAUGCUAUAUCACCUAUCAUUUGUAUGACACCGGGUACAACCUCUUUUGCACCAAUGUCUUGUGUUAUUAUACCCACUUUAGAAACAGAAAAUAGACUCAGAGAAGUUACAGCCUUUGUCUGAGGAAGUGUGUGUCAGCCGGGCUUCCUGAUGCUGGACACAAUACCUGACAUCUGCCUUAAAGGAGCAGAGGUUUAAUUCGGCUCAUGUCUUAAGACGAUUCAGUCCAUGCAUGCUGGGCUACCCUGCAUAGAUGGACAAUGCACGGAAUAAACCAGGGGUACGGCUGCCCCAGGGACAUGUCUGCAGCCCUGCCCAUCGCUGCCCCUGGGGAUGGAGCAUCCAGAUCACUGCACAAAGUGCCCAGAUCUUCGUGGAGGAGUACUGGAGAUGGAACCCAGGGCAUUCACCCUGAGCGCAUCCCAGCCGUUGUGACUUCUGGAGACAAGACAUCAACUUGCCCAGGCUGGGCCCCAAGUUGCAUCCUCCUGCAUCAUCCUGCUGGAGUGCUGCUACUGCAGGCACAUGCCAUUGUGCCCAGCUCUCUUGCUGCUACUACUUCCUUGUGGGGAUGAAGAAUUCAGAUGUUUCGUGUACACAGCAAUUACCUCAGUGAAUGAAAAGGUGAAACAAUAUGUUAUCCGAGGAGCGUGGACCCCUGCAUUUCUCUCCGCCUCCCGACAGAAGCCUCUGCAGCUCCCCGUGUCCUCCCUCCUCUUUCUCCUUCCUCUAUGCAGUGAUUCAUGAUUUUUCUCCAUGCAGUAAAAAAUCA